rnacentral:rRNA from 1 species
AUUGAACGCUGGCGGCAGGCCUAACACAUGCAAGUCGAGCGAGCGGCGGACGGGUGAGUAAUGUAUGGGGACUGCCCGAUAGAGGGGGAUAACUACUGGAAACGGUAGCUAAUACCGCAUACUAUCGGAUAACCCAUAGGGGAUUAGCUAGUAGGUGAGGUAAUGGCUCACCUAGGCGACGAUCCCUAGCUGGUCUGAGAGGAUGAGCAGCCACACUGGGACGGAGACACGGCCCAGAGUCCUACGGGGGAAGAAGUGGGGAAUAUGGCACAAUGGGCGCAAGCCUGAUGCAGCCAUGCCGCGUGGGGGAUGAGGGCUUUCGGGUUGUAAACCUCUUUCGCUAUCGAACGGGUAGGUGGAGAAGAAGCGCCGGCUAACUACGUGCCAGCAGCCGCGGUAAUAC